UACGUAGGGUGCGAGCGUUGUCCGGAAUUACUGGGCGUAAAGAGCUCGUAGGCGGUUUGUCGCGUCGUCCGUGAAAUCUUGGGGCUCAACCCCAAGCUUGCGGGCGAUACGGGCAGACUUGAGUACUGCAGGGGAGACUGGAAUUCCUGGUGUAGCGGUGAAAUGCGCAGAUAUCAGGAGGAACACCGGUGGCGAAGGCGGUUCUCUGGGCCUUAACUGACGCUGAGGAGCGAAAGCGUGGGGAGCGAACAGG
rnacentral:rRNA from 1 species